GAUGAAGAACGCAGCGAAAUGCGAUAAGUAAUGUGAAUUGCAGAAUUCAGUGAAUCAUCGAAUCUUUGAACGCACCUUGCACCCUUUGGCAUUCCGAAGGGUAUGCUCGUUUGAGUGUCAUUGUACUCUCACACUCUCCGAUCCUAUUGAUUCGGGGAGCGGUGGACUUGGGUGUUGCUGCCUUUCCUUGUGGCUCACCUCAAAUGUGUCAGUGCACCUCUUGGUUGGACAUAGUACGGCGUGAUAAGUGUCUUCGCCGGCACCUCGCAAGAGGGUGGCCGAUCGGGAGCUCUGUGCUUUCAAACCGUCUUCGGACAAUUUCUGACAACUUGACCUCAAAUCGAGUAGGACUACCCGCUGAACUUAAGCAUAUCAAUAAGCGGAGGA
rnacentral:misc_RNA from 1 species